AGGUGCUCAGUCCCAGCCUCGUCAGUGAUUUCUGAGUACCUUUGUCUACAUCUCUACAGUGGUAUUGGGUCGAGUAGCAGUUUAUAUAUCAUUUCUUACUGCAUUGACAUUAUGGAGAUCAAGGUAGUGACGAACAAACUUCAAGCGUACCUAGAUUUGUUUCUUAUUAUCUUAUGCUUACUUUCGCAUACAAGAUAUCUUAGUACAAGUGUUAUAAAUCUGUAUUAGAGGCUUGUAUUAGUGACAACCAGACCUGAAUGUAUCACAAAUAUUAUUUGUUCUUUAUUUAUAUUUUGGGUUUAUUUUU